rnacentral:misc_RNA from 1 species
AAGUCGUAACAAGGUUUCGGUAGGUGAACCUGUGGAAGGAUCAUCACGAGAGGGACGCCACAAGGCGCACCACAACAACUGUGUUGCCGAGCGAUGAGUGCAGCGCAUUGUGCUGCACACGUCUGUUGACACCAUGCAAACUGAACUAACUGAACAGCAAGCAACCAACUAACACAACUGUUAGCAACGGAUCACUUGGUUCUC